rnacentral:rRNA from 1 species
UGGGGAAUAUUGGGCAAUGGGCGCAAGCCUGACCCAGCAACGCCGCGUGAGGGAAGAAGGCUUUCGGGUUGUAAACCUCUGUCCUUGGUGACGAAACAAAUGACGGUAGCCAAGGAGGAAGCCCCGGCUAACUACGUGCCAGCAGCCGCGGUAAUACGUAGGGGGCGAGCGUUGUCCGGAAUUACUGGGCGUAAAGGGUGCGUAGGUGGCCUUUUAAGUUGGAUGUGAAAUACCCGGGCUUAACUUGGGGGGUGCAUCCAAAACUGGAAGGCUAGAGUGCAGGAGAGGAAAGCGGAAUUCCUAGUGUAGCGGUGAAAUGCGUAGAUAUUAGGAGGAACACCAGUGGCGAAGGCGGCUUUCUGGACUGUAACUGACACUGAGGCACGAAAGCGUGGGGAGCAAACA